rnacentral:rRNA from 1 species
AGAUGAGAUUUUUGUUUCUAUACCAACCUGAACAUGGCUGAUCUCAGAAGAUAAGCAGGGUCAGGCCUGGUUGGUACUUGGAUGGGAGGGAGAGUUCUGCCUAUUUCAGAUU